rnacentral:tRNA from 1 species
CGAAUUAAAGCUUGAUUUUAAGUAUUUCAUUUACAUUGAAAUGAUAUUAAAUAAUAUUUAAUUAAUUUGA